rnacentral:rRNA from 1 species
GAUGAACGCUGGCGGCGUGCCUAAUACAUGCAAGUCGAGCGAACGGACGAGAAGCUUGCUUUUCUGAUGUUAGCGGCGGACGGGUGAGUAACACGUGGAUAACCUACCUAUAAGACUGGGAUAACUUCGGGAAACCGGAGCUAAUACCGGAUAAUAUUUUGAACCGCAUGGUUCAAAAGUGAAAGACGGUCUUGCUGUCACUUAUAGAUGGAUCCGCGCUGCAUUAGCUAGUUGGUAAGGUAACGGCUUACCAAGGCAACGAUGCAUAGCCGACCUGAGAGGGUGAUCGGCCACACUGGAACUGAGACACGGUCCAGACUCCUACGGGAGGCAGCAGUAGGGAAUCUUCCGCAAUGGGCGAAAGCCUGACGGAGCAACGCCGCGUGAGUGAUGAAGGUCUUCGGAUCGUAAAACUCUGUUAUUAGGGAAGAACAUAUGUGUAAGUAACUGUGCACAUCUUGACGGUACCUAAUCAGAAAGCCACGGCUAACUACGUGCCAGCAGCCGCGGUAAUACGUAGGUGGCAAGCGUUAUCCGGAAUUAUUGGGCGUAAAGCGCGCGUAGGCGGUUUUUUAAGUCUGAUGUGAAAGCCCACGGCUCAACCGUGGAGGGUCAUUGGAAACUGGAAAACUUGAGUGCAGAAGAGGAAAGUGGAAUUCCAUGUGUAGCGGUGAAAUGCGCAGAGAUGUGGAGGAACACCAGUGGCGAAGGCGACUUUCUGGUCUGUAACUGACGCUGAUGUGCGAAAGCGUGGGGAUCAAACAGGAUUAGAUACCCUGGUAGUCCACGCCGUAAACGAUGAGUGCUAAGUGUUAGGGGGUUUCCGCCCCUUAGUGCUGCAGCUAACGCAUUAAGCACUCCGCCUGGGGAGUACGACCGCAAGGUUGAAACUCAAAGGAAUUGACGGGGGCCCGCACAAGCGGUGGAGCAUGUGGUUUAAUUCGAAGCAACGCGAAGAACCUUACCAAAUCUUGACAUCCUUUGACAACUCUAGAGAUAGAGCCUUCCCCUUCGGGGGACAAAGUGACAGGUGGUGCAUGGUUGUCGUCAGCUCGUGUCGUGAGAUGCUGGGUUAAGUCCCGCAACGAGCGCAACCCUUAAGCUUAGUUGCCAUCAUUAAGUUGGGCACUCUAAGUUGACUGCCGGUGACAAACCGGAGGAAGGUGGGGAUGACGUCAAAUCAUCAUGCCCCUUAUGAUUUGGGCUACACACGUGCUACAAUGGACAAUACAAAGGGCAGCGAAACCGCGAGGUCAAGCAAAUCCCAUAAAGUUGUUCUCAGUUCGGAUUGUAGUCUGCAACUCGACUACAUGAAGCUGGAAUCGCUAGUAAUCGUAGAUCAGCAUGCUACGGUGAAUACGUUCCCGGGUCU